UCUAUACUGUGAACCUCUGGCGAUGAAGGUCGUAACUGACCUUCGGGAGAGACUCAGGACAUAUAGGCUAUAAUGGGUAGGCCUGUUCUGGGGUUUGAUCGAUGCCAAUCAGGAUUACCUUUCUUCCUUUGGGAAGGAAGGCGCCUGGUACCCUUUACCAUAUACCAUGAAUUCAGAAUUGAAAGUAUAAUAUAAUAACAACUUUUAACAAUGGAUCUCUUGGUUCUCGCAUCGAUGAAGAACGUAGCAAAGUGCGAUAACUAGUGUGAAUUGCAUAUUCGUGAAUCAUCGAGUCUUUGAACGCAGCUUGCACUCUAUGGAUCUUCUAUAGAGUACGCUUGCUUCAGUAUCAUAACCAACCCACACAUAAAAUUUAUUUUAUGUGGUGAUGGACAAGCUCGGUUAAAUUUAAUUAUUAUACCGAUUGUCUAAAAUACAGCCUCUUUGUAAUUUUCAUUAAAUUACGAACUACCUAGCCAUCGUGCUUUUUUGGUCCAACCAAAAAACAUUUAAUCUAGGGGUUCUGCCAGCCAGCAGAUAUUUUAAUGCUCUUUAACUAU
rnacentral:rRNA from 1 species